AGUGAACGCUGGCGGUAGGCCUAACACAUGCAAGUCGAACGGCAGCACAGUAAGAGCUUGCUCUUACGGGUGGCGAGUGGCGGACGGGUGAGGAAUACAUCGGAAUCUACUUUUUCGUGGGGGAUAACGUAGGGAAACUUACGCUAAUACCGCAUACGACCUACGGGUGAAAGCAGGGGAUCUUCGGACCUUGCGCGAUUGAAUGAGCCGAUGUCGGAUUAGCUAGUUGGCGGGGUAAAGGCCCACCAAGGCGACAAUCCGUAGCUGGUCUGAGAGGAUGAUCAGCCACACUGGAACUGAGACACGGUCCAGACUCCUACGGGAGGCAGCAGUGGGGAAUAUUGGACAAUGGGCGCAAGCCUGAUCCAGCCAUACCGCGUGGGUGAAGGAGGCCUUCGGGUUGUAAAGCCCUUUUGUUGGGAAAGAAAAGCAGCAGGUUAAUACCCCGCUGUUCUGACGGUACCCAAAGAAUAAGCACCGGCUAACUUCGUG
rnacentral:rRNA from 1 species